rnacentral:ncRNA from 2 species
UUUUUGGCGAUGAAUGAGUAAAGUAGCUGUUUUAGGUUACAGUAUAAAGAGAGCAAUCCGGUUGGUGGAAGGAUGCGUACCAAAACAAGUGAAUUACACUCAGGAGUUUUCGGUCUUUAGCGGCUUAAGCCGUUACUGUAUAAGAGGCAUUUAGACGAAAUAUUUUAAAUGCGAAUUAAGGUGGUACCACGAGCUUCCUCGUCCUUAAA